rnacentral:rRNA from 1 species
GAUGAACGCUGGCGGCGUGCCUAAUACAUGCAAGUCGAACGCAGUGGUUACGGGUGAGUAACACGUGGGUAACCUCCCAUCAGAGGGGAUAACACUUGGAAACAGGUGCUAAACCGAUACUGAUGGAUGGACCCUCGGUGCAUUAGCUAGUUGGGUAGGUAACGGCUCACCAAGGCCACGAUGCAUAGCAGAACUGAGAGGGUGAUCGGCAACACUGGGACUGAGACACGGCACAGACUCCUACGGGAGGCAGCAGUAGGGAAUCUGCGGCAAUGGACGAAAGUCUGACCGAGCAAAGCCGCGUGAGUGAAGAAGGUUUUCGGAUCGUAAAACUCUGUUGUUAGAGAAGAGGUAUCUAACCAGAAAGCCACGGCUAACGACGUGCCAGCAGCCGCGGUAAUUC